rnacentral:rRNA from 1 species
CUACGGGGGGCUGCAGUGGGGAAUCUUAGACAAUGGGCGCAAGCCUGAUCUAGCCAUGCCGCGUGAGUGACGAAGGCCUUAGGGUCGUAAAGCUCUUUCGCUGGGGAAGAUAAUGACGGUACCCAGUAAAGAAACCCCGGCUAACUCCGUGCCAGCAGCCGCGGUAAUACGGAGGGGGUUAGCGUUGUUCGGAAUUACUGGGCGUAAAGCGCGCGUAGGCGGAUCAGAAAGUUGGGGGUGAAAUCCCGGGGCUCAACCCCGGAACUGCCUUCAAAACUCCUGGUCUUGGGUUCGAGAGAGGUGAGUGGAAUUCCGAGUGUAGAGGUGAAAUUCGUAGAUAUUCGGAGGAACACCAGUGGCGAAGGCGGCUCACUGGCUCGAUACUGACGCUGAGGUGCGAAAGCGUGGGGAGCAAACAGGAUAGAUACCCCUGUAGUC